CUCCUGUGUUGAAAAUAAUGCAAAUAUAAAAUUCAUAGCAUAGGGAAUUGUUAAAAAAAAUGCUGACAAUUUAACAGAAUGGGAGAAAAAGCUUAUAAAAGAAACAAAAACAAAACAAAUCUAAAAAGAAAAUUCUGCAUAUGAAAAUGUGAAUUACAGGGACAGAUUACGGGCAAUUGCAGAAUUGGUCCAUAAGAGCUAGCUGACUUUUACAGUCAUGAACAGUAUAUUGAAGUCUUGUAUCAUAGUGAAGAGCUGCUUUUUUAUCUUUUAGGACACUGCUUUACUUGGAGGAUGCAUUCAGAUUCAUUUUCUGUGUGGCACUAUUCAUUUUGGAAUUCUUAUUUGAUUCCAUAUACACUGACGAGUGAGGAAGAUGGCGCUGUAGGACCAACUCAGGAUUGCAGCUCCCAGUGAAAUCGCAGAGGGGACAAAGAUAGCAGAAGAAGAAUCUGGUAGCAACCCUCAUGGUUCUGCAGCUGCUACAGGAGUUCCCCAGGCAAGCAGGGCCUGGAGUGGACCUCAGCAGUCCAACAGCAGAG
rnacentral:lncRNA from 1 species